UCUCCAGGGCACAUCUUCCGCCCCGCUCGCCCUCUGCUAGAAAUAGGAAAAUGCUAUAAUAACACACACAUCACAAGAAAAAAAAUGAAGCAACUUUGAUCACGCAUGCUCCCUUUGACGUCCACCUCUUUUUCCCCCCCACAACAUUUCUUCUAAGUUGGAAAGUGAAGGAAAGCCCCAGUGAAGUGCUGAACACAGUUAAACCAAUCAUUCGGGGAAAGCCAUCUCAUAUUUAAAAUGCCUGUGGUAUCAAGGUGAAGGGAUCUGCGGGCAGAGAUGUAAGUGUGUGCAGCUUUUCUCUAUGAAGACAGACUGAAAGACAGGAAGAGGAAGUGAUCGACAGACAGACAGAACUCAAUCCAGCUUGUUGUGUCCAACAAGGAAUAAAAACAAAAUGAUGUUUUGAAGACAUUACUCUAACGUACGCUUUCUAGCACUUCCGUGCGAGUGUAAACGGAGCUGGCAGCGGUGCUGGUGAGGAGAAAACCACAUGGAUGGUGGAUAAUGAACCCAUUACAGUUCAUCACUGCCACAAAUGUGCACUUUGCUUUUUGUGUGAAAGUGUAGUUUGGGUAUUUUAUUAUAGCAACCCAAUUUUCCAUCACAUAACCAUCAGCAUUAUGAGAGCAUGGAUUUCUAAAUUAAAUAAAAAAAGACUGCUGUCCUUUUUGUCCUG